AUGAUCGAGACUAUGAUUCCCCCACAAGUCAGGAUGAGAUUCCGAACAAAAAAUAAAAAAGGAGGCCAUGAAAAAAGAAGGCCCAAACAAAAAAAUGAGAGAAAAAGAGAGAAGGGGCAAUGUUACUAUCCUUUUUCCACACUUGUGCUUCAAAGUAGCACAAUGAUCUUCAUGAUAGAGAGUCUCUUAUGUUGUCACUUUCAUACACUAGUGGGAAUUUAUCAUUAUAGAACUUGGCUUGUAUAUUCCAAUGAUGGGCUUCCUCAAAUUGCCCUAGGUCUUCGUGAGCAAGCAAGUUGGAUGCACACCCACUUAGUUAAUUUUGUUGAGCGUUCAUACACUUAUAGCUCCAGUGCAUCAGUUGCAUGGCAAUCCCUACUCACUCACAUUGAUAUGUAG
rnacentral:rRNA from 1 species